AGACCAUAGAUAGAGAGAGGAGAGAGGAACUCGAAAGUCCAAAAUGGCGUCGUCGAUAGCUCAAUCGCCGCCUUUCCCAUGUGCAGCCAACCGAUUCUCCGUGCUACCCUCAACACGCUGCUUCUCUCAAAUGGGCGGAGGCAGGAUUUGGUCAUUGGGCGGGCCAGAGUAGGGUGGUGCGGACCUUACACUACUGCAGCACUUUUAACGGCAUAUCUGCAUCUGGAAGAUUCUUCCCACAGAUCUCAAGCACCUCAGAACGAACACGAGCUUGCCAUUCUGGAUAUGCAGCCAAUAACAUCAAGCACCAUGAUGCUGAUACAGCUGUGGUCUCAUGGCC